CCUGGCUCAGAUUGAACGCUGGCGGCAGGCCUAACACAUGCAAGUCGAGCGGUAGCACAGAGAGCUUGCUCUCGGGUGACGAGCGGCGGACGGGUGAGUAAUGUCUGGGAAACUGCCUGAUGGAGGGGGAUAACUACUGGAAACGGUAGCUAAUACCGCAUAACGUCGCAAGACCAAAGUGGGGGACCUUCGGGCCUCAUGCCAUCAGAUGUGCCCAGAUGGGAUUAGCUAGUAGGUGGGGUAACGGCUCACCUAGGCGACGAUCCCUAGCUGGUCUGAGAGGAUGACCAGCCACACUGGAACUGAGACACGGUCCAGACUCCUACGGGAGGCAGCAGUGGGGAAUAUUGCACAAUGGGCGCAAGCCUGAUGCAGCCAUGCCGCGUGUGUGAAGAAGGCCUUCGGGUUGUAAAGCACUUUCAGCGGGGAGGAAGGCGGUGAGGUUAAUAACCUCACGGAUUGACGUACCCGCAGAAGAAGCACCGGCUAACUCCGUGCCAGCAGCCGCGGUAAUACGGAGGGUGCAAGCGUUAAUCGGAAUUACUGGGCGUAAAGCGCACGCAGGCGGUCUGUCAAGUCGGAUGUGAAAUCCCCGGGCUCAACCUGGGAACUGCAUUCGAAACUGGCAGGCUAGAGUCUUGUAGAGGGGGGUAGAAUUCCAGGUGUAGCGGUGAAAUGCGUAGAGAUCUGGAGGAAUACCGGUGGCGAAGGCGGCCCCCUGGACAAAGACUGACGCUCAGGUGCGAAAGCGUGGGGAGCAAACAGGAUUAGAUACCCUGGUAGUCCACGCUGUAAACGAUGUCGAUUUGGAGGUUGUGCCCUUGAGGCGUGGCUUCCGGAGCUAACGCGUUAAAUCGACCGCCUGGGGAGUACGGCCGCAAGGUUAAAACUCAAAUGAAUUGACGGGGGCCCGCACAAGCGGUGGAGCAUGUGGUUUAAUUCGAUGCAACGCGAAGAACCUUACCUGGUCUUGACAUCCACAGAACUUUCCAGAGAUGGAUUGGUGCCUUCGGGAACUGUGAGACAGGUGCUGCAUGGCUGUCGUCAGCUCGUGUUGUGAAAUGUUGGGUUAAGUCCCGCAACGAGCGCAACCCUUAUCCUUUGUUGCCAGCGGUUAGGCCGGGAACUCAAAGGAGACUGCCAGUGAUAAACUGGAGGAAGGUGGGGAUGACGUCAAGUCAUCAUGGCCCUUACGACCAGGGCUACACACGUGCUACAAUGGCAUAUACAAAGAGAAGCGACCUCGCGAGAGCAAGCGGACCUCAUAAAGUAUGUCGUAGUCCGGAUUGGAGUCUGCAACUCGACUCCAUGAAGUCGGAAUCGCUAGUAAUCGUAGAUCAGAAUGCUACGGUGGAAUACGUUCCCGGGGCCUUGUACACACCGCCCGUCACACCAUGGGAGUGGGUUGCAAAAGAAGUAGGUAGCUUAACCUUCGGGAGGGCGCUUACCACUUUGUGAUUCAUGACUGGGGUGAAGUCGUAACAAGGUAGCCGU
rnacentral:rRNA from 1 species